rnacentral:rRNA from 1 species
CUACGGGCCGCUCCAGUGAGGAAUAUUGCACAAUGGGGGGAACCCUGAUGCAGCAACGCCGCGUGGAGGAUGACGCAUUUCGGUGUGUAAACUCCUUUUAUAUGUCAAGAAAAUGACGGUAGCAUAUGAAUAAGCACCGGCUAACUCCGUGCCAGCAGCCGCGGUAAUACGGAGGGUGCAAGCGUUACUCGGAAUCACUGGGCGUAAAGGACGCGUGGGCGGGUUGGAAAGUCAGGUGUGAAAUCCUACAGCUUAACUGUAGAACUGCACUUGAAACUUCUAAUCUAGAGUAUGGGAGGGGGAGAUGGAAUUAGUGGUGUAGGGGUAAAAUCCGUAGAUGUCACUAGGAAUACCUAAAGCGAAGGCGAUCUCCUGGAACAUUACUGACGCUAAGGCGUGAAAGCGUGGGGAGCAAACAGGAUUAGAUACCCGCGUAGUC